GACGAACGCUGGCGCGUGCCUAACACAUGCAAGUCGAACGGGCGAUUCCUUCGGGGAUCGCUUAGUGGCGAACGGGUGAGUAACGCGUGAGGAACCUGCCUUCCAGUGGGGGACAACAGUUGGAAACGACUGCUAAUACCGCAUGACAUAUCCGAAGGGCAUCCUUUGGAUAUCAAAGCUUUAUGUGCUGGAAGAUGGCCUCGCGUCUGAUUAGAUAGUUGGUGGGGUAACGGCCUACCAAGUCGACGAUCAGUAGCCGGUCUGAGAGGAUGAACGGCCACAUUGGGACUGAGAUACGGCCCAGACUCCUACGGGAGGCAGCAGUGGGGAAUAUUGGGCAAUGGGGAAACCCUGACCCAGCAACGCCGCGUGAAGGAAGAAGGCCUUCGGGUUGUAAACUUCUUUUACCAGGGACGAAGAACGUGACGGUACCUGGAGAAAAAGCAACGGCUAACUACGUG
rnacentral:rRNA from 1 species